rnacentral:sRNA from 1 species
UUUUUUUUUUUUUUUUUUAACAGUAGUAAAAUUGUAAACUUUUAUUUUUAUACCAUAGUAGUAUGGCUAUGAUUGGAAGGUUGUAGUGUCAGUCAAGUUGGAAAAACUGUUGGCACUUUUUUUCUGAAUCAAUGGAAUUCUUAUCAAACACAUGCAAACGUAUAAAGAAGACUUGAAUAGAUAAUCUUUGAAUUCAAACAAAUCCUAGUCAACUGAACAACGCAUCUACCUCAGCAGUCCUUGGGAAAUGUAUAAAUAGGCAAGCAUUAAACUUUUAUAUAUAAAACCAUCAAGAUCUCUAUUUUUAACUCGGUGGUUUCUUUCACAAGACUUACUUCAAGAACGACAACACAUCCUGACAGUUAAUUCAUUAAUACUAAUACUAUCGAGGAUUCUGUCAUCCAAGUGGAAUGAACAUGGGCAUCAAAGGAAUGUUUCCUCAAAGUGAGAACUAUAGUGUUGCAAGAGCGAAUACUUGGUCGCUUAGAACAAAACGAAUUACUGUCAUUAGGAUAUGCUCAAAAGUGUGGCGCUAUAUCUUGUAUCUAUUGCUACGUUCAUUCAUUGAUCCAACAGUAUGGGUAUAGAAAGAAGACGAUAAGCAGGAGUUGCGCAAACGAAGUUAUGGAGUUUCUUGCAUGCAUGCAUGUUUUGGCAUAAAGCUGGUACUUCGAAAUAUGCCUAUGAAAUCUCUACCUGCUUUGCACCCUAAAUAUAACGUGUCGUCUUGUAGCUGCAUGUGAAUUACCACGAUUGAUAGAUGAAAACAAAUCGACUUGNUGNCCAUUUCNCGUUU